AGGCGUUCUCAGGGCGGGGCGAAAUUCCCCACCGGCGGUAAGCAGCAAUGUAAGCCCGCGAGCGCCUCGGGCACUGCCCGGGGGUCAGCAGAUCAGGUGCAACUCCUGAGCCGACGGUAACAGUCCGGAUGGAAGAGAGACAGC
rnacentral:ncRNA from 2 species